CUAGAGUUCAGACUGUGUGCAUCUUCCAUCUUUUGUCAAUCCAUCUACCCGCUUCAUUAUGUGUAUGUCCGCAAAGUGAAGAUGCUUAAGAAGCCAAGUUUGAAUUGGGCAAACUGAUGGAACUGCACGGUGAAGGUGG